GCAAAAAUGUUGAAGAGGAAUAGUAGAGACAACGCUGUACUUUCAGAGACUUGUCGGCAGGUGUGAGACAGGAGACAGAUGUUUUGAACUGACCUCGGAGUUCUUUUGCCGAACGUAAAGUAAGCAGAAGCGGGACUUCCCGUUAUAGAAGGAAUGAGUGCAUCCGGAAUACAGGGGGGACAGCAGAGCAGGUAAGCUGGGGAAGCAUUGUAUUUGGAUGAAAAAGAGUGGUACCACGGAAACAAAAGUCUUUUCGUCUCUUGA
rnacentral:ncRNA from 1 species